CAAUUAUUUUAUUAUCCAUGGUUUGAGAUAUCAUAAGACUGAAUCAGUAUUUUGAUAGCCUUGCUAAACAAGCCGUCUAUCUCUUUAGACUCAUUUGACAUUUGGACGUGAAUUCACAGCAGCUGUUGAAGCGAAGCAAGUUGGUAUGUAUUGGAAUGAAUUGUUUACAUUUUAAUACAUCGUGCAUUGAAAAUGUUUCUCUCUUUCAUUUACAGCUCAACAGGAAGCUGAGAGAGCCAGAUUUCUUGUCGAGAAGGUAAUUAGAUUUUAAAUAUAAAGUUAGUGAUUGACCGAUUGUGCAACAAUCGGAGAUCCGAUUAUUCAUGCCAAAUCUUAGCCGAUUUUAUAAUGACGUGAUAA